CACAUUUACUUCGGCUUUCUGAUUAUUAGUUUUAGGUUGGGGUGACCGCGGAGCAAAAAAUAACCUCCACAUUGAAUGGGGAACUCCCCUGAGACACGAGCUACAACUCUACACACCAAUAAAUUGACAUCAAUUGACCCAAUACAUUGAUCAACGAACCAAGUUACCCUAGGGAUAACAGCGCAAUCCGCUUCAAGAGCUCCUAUCGACAGGCGGGUUUACGAC
rnacentral:rRNA from 1 species